rnacentral:rRNA from 1 species
GACGAACGCUGGCGGCGUGCUUAACACAUGCAAGUCGAACGGAAAGGCCUGCUUUCCCUUGUGGAUUGCGGGUACUCGAGUGGCGAACGGGUGAGUAACACGUGAGUGAUCUGCCCCCAACUUGGGUAUAAGCCUGGGAAACUGGGUCUAAUUCCCGAUAGGACUGCAGGGUGGUGCCUGUGGUGGAAAACGAUUUUCUAGUGGUUGGGGAUGAGCUCGCGGCCUAUCAGCUUGUUGGUGGGGUAAUGACCUACCAAGGCGGCGACGGGUAGCCGGCCUGAGAGGGUGGACGGCCACAUUGGGACUGAGAUACGGCCCAGACUCCUGCGGGAGGCAGGAGUGGGGGAUAAUGCACAAUGGGCGGAAGCCUGAUGCAGCGACGCCGCGUGGGGGAUGACGGCCUUCGAGUUGUAAACUCCUUUCGACCGCGAGGAAGCCACCUGGUUGGAAGGGUGGUGACGGUAGUGGUAGAAGAAGCACCGGCUAACUACGUG